GCAACAGCUCAAAUUUGAAAGCUGGCUCCUUCGGGGUCCGCGUUGUAAUUUGUAGAGGAUGAUUCGGCGAGGGCUCCCGAAUAAGUCUCCUGGAACGGAGCGUCGUAGAGGGUGAGAAUCCCGUAUGCGGUGGGCCGCCCGAGCCAUGUGAAUCUCCUUCGACGAGUCGAGUUGUUUGGGAAUGCAGCUCUAAAUGGGAGGUAAAUUUCUUCUAAAGCUAAAUACCGGCCAGAGACCGAUAGCGCACA
rnacentral:rRNA from 1 species